rnacentral:tRNA from 1 species
UCCUGAUAGCUCAGUUGAUAAAGAAUCUGCCUGCAGUUCAGGAGACCCAGGUUCAAUUCCUGGGUCGGGAA